rnacentral:lncRNA from 1 species
AGUCGCAGUAGCAGUAGCCGUGGACCACCCUAGGCAUAUUUAUUGGAAAUCUGAAACAGCUCGAAUGUCCAUGUUCAACCCCGCUACACUCCAAUCCACAAUCCACUUCAGUCCACCCACUUCGACAUCCACAACCACUCCAUCCGUGUGUAUCCGUGUCCGGCAGAAGGCACAAAGAAUUUGUUACAUGAAAUUGUUAACGGGCUGAAGCUGAAGCCUCGACUCUGCGUUUGAUGCCUUUUGCUGAUAUAUGGCCAACCUUUGACAUCCUUUAAACGAGCAACAUGAUGCUCUAGAUUAUGGUCCCGGGGCUCAGGCCAGUCCAGGACAGUCCAGGACAGGACAGGAGAUUGCCUGGGUGCCUGUCUCUGGCUCCCAUUCCAUCUCUCGCCCGCUGCCUGUGUCUCUGGUUGUCUCACUUGGGCGAUACGUCAAUGUGACAGUUUGAUAAUUUAUUUUGUUCAAAUUUUGUUUUUCCUGUCUGCGUGUUUGUGUGCGUGUGUGUGUGUAUGAGGGGAAAAGCGCUUAAAUAAGUUAUCAACGGGCUUUCGGCUUGGGCCAUGUACAUAUAUGGCAGCACGUAAAUGAAUGAAAUUAUUUUGCAACAAAUUAAGGAAAAUUUAUGCGUCAAGACGACAGGGCAGCACCAGGGCCAUGGCCACCAGAGAUGGGACACAUUUUUUGGAAAAUGGGUGGAAAAUUGUUACAGGAAACACAAUCCGCAGGCAAACAAACAAAAGCGAAAACGGAUCGGAACGAAGCGAAACGAAACGAAACCAACAACCAACAAACAAACAAUGAAACGAAAACGGAACGAAGCGAAUUUUCCUUCAGCGAAAUCUGAGCGAGGCUUUGUCCCACAAAGUGCUGGCAGCAUGGAGGGAGCCCGGGGGGGAAUCCCCAAGCCUCCUUCAAAAUGAAGGCUAACUGGUGGUAGCACCACAUACAGCUACAGCUACAGCUGCAGAUACAGCUACAGAUAUGUAUUUUUUAUUUCUUUGCCUCUCUCCGAAUCAAAUGUCAAUAGAGAGUACAUUUCAUUCAGCCGGGUGAUGCUUUUUCCGCCUCCUCCCAACUCUUCCUCGUGGCCCUUCCCGGCCAGAAACAUCCUCGACCCACCUCCUGCUGGUGUCCCCGCCCCGCAUUGUAGCUGUCACAGUGUUUGUUUGCGGAUUUGAAGCUUUUUCCUCUUUGCCAACGCGCUUUUUUUCCACGCUUCCCUUUCAAGGGGUAGUCCGCUGAUCAGAAGCUGAAAGCAACUGACAAACUGAGACUUAAGGUUGAAGUUAAAAAUCUAC